rnacentral:rRNA from 1 species
AGAGUUUGAUCAUGGCUCAGAUUGAACGCUGGCGGCAUGCCUUACACAUGCAAGUCGGACGGCAGCGCGGGGGCAACCCUGGCGGCGAGUGGCGAACGGGUGAGUAAUACAUCGGAACGUGUCCUGGAGUGGGGGGAUAGCCCGGCGAAAGCCGGAUUAAUACCGCAUACGAUCUCUGGAUGAAAGCGGGGGACCGAAAGGCCUCGCGCUCAAGGGGCGGCCGAUGGCAGAUUAGCUAGUUGGUGGGGUAAAGGCCUACCAAGGCGACGAUCUGUAGCUGGUCUGAGAGGACGACCAGCCACACUGGGACUGAGACACGGCCCAGACUCCUACGGGAGGCAGCAGUGGGGAAUUUUGGACAAUGGGGGCAACCCUGAUCCAGCAAUGCCGCGUGUGUGAAGAAGGCCUUCGGGUUGUAAAGCACUUUUGUCCGGAAAGAAAACCGCUUCUCUAAUACAGAGGUGGGAUGACGGUACCGGAAGAAUAAGCACCGGCUAACUACGUGCCAGCAGCCGCGGUAAUACGUAGGGUGCGAGCGUUAAUCGGAAUUACUGGGCGUAAAGCGUGCGCAGGCGGGUUCGCUAAGACCGAUGUGAAAUCCCCGGGGCUUAACCUGGGAACUGCAUUGGUGACUGGCGGGCUAGAGUAUGGCAGAGGAGGGUAGAAUUCCCGUGUAGCAGUGAAAUGCGUAGAGAUGUGGAGGAAUACCGAUGGCGAAGGCAGCCCCCUGGGCCAAUACUGACGCUCAUGCACGAAAGCGUGGGGAGCAAACAGGAUUAGAUACCCUAGUAGUCC